rnacentral:rRNA from 1 species
GGUGAGUAAUGCCUAGGAAUCUGCCUGGUAGUGGGGGACAACGUUUCGAAAGGAACGCUAAUACCGCGUACGUCCUAAGGGAGAAAGCAGGGGACCUUCGGGCCUUGCGCUAUCAGAUGAGCCUAGGUCGGAUUAGCUUGUUGGUGAGGUAAUGGCUCACCAAGGCGACGAUCCGUAACUGGUCUGAGAGGAUGAUCAGUCACACUGGAACUGAGACACGGUCCAGACUCCUACGGGAGGCAGCAGUGGGGAAUAUUGGACAAUGGGCGAAAGCCUGAUCCAGCCAUGCCGCGUGUGUGAAGAAGGUCUUCGGAUUGUAAAGCACUUUAAGUUGGGAGGAAGGGUUGUAGAUUAAUACUCUGCAAUUUUGACGUUACCGACAGAAUAAGCACCGGCUAACUCUGUGCCAGCAGCCGCGGUAAUACAGAGGGUGCAAGCGUUAAUCGGAAUUACUGGGCGUAAAGCGCGCGUAGGUGGUUUGUUAAGUUGGAUGUGAAAGCCCCGGGCUCAACCUGGGAACUGCAUCCAAAACUGGCAAGCUAGAGUACGGUAGAGGGUGGUGGAAUUUCCUGUGUAGCGGUGAAAUGCGUAGAUAUAGGAAGGAACACCAGUGGCAAAGGCGACCACCUGGACUGAUACUGACACUGAGGUGCGAAAGCGUGGGGAGCAAACAGGAUUAGAUACCCUGGUAGUCCACGCCGUAAACGAUGUCAACUAGCCGAUGGAAUCCUUGAGAUUUUAGUGGCGCAGCUAACGCAUUAAGUUGACCGCCUGGGGAGUACGGCCGCAAGGUUAAAACUCAAAUGAAUUGACGGGGGCCCGCACAAGCGGUGG